rnacentral:tRNA from 2 species
GGCGGAGUAGCUCAGAUGGUUAGAGCGACGGAUUCAUAACCCGUAGGUCGACAGUUCGAUCCUGUCCUCCGCCACCA